rnacentral:rRNA from 1 species
CAGAGGUCCCAAGCGUUGUUCGGAUUCACUGGGCGUAAAGGGUGCGCAGGUGGGCUGGUAAGUUCGAUGUGAAAGCCCCGGGCUUAACCCGGGAAUGGCAUUGGAUACUACUGGUCUGGAGGAUCGGAGGGGGGACUGGAAUUCUUGGUGUAGCAGUGAAAUGCGUAGAUAUCAAGAGGAACACCAGUGGCGAAGGCGAGUCCCUGGACGAUACCUGACACUGAGGCACGAAAGCCAAGGGAGCAAACAGGAUUAGAUACCCUGGUAGUCUUGGCUGUAAACGGUGCGCAUUUGCUGUAAACGGAAUCGACCCCGUUUGUGGCGAAGCUAACGCGAUAAAUGCGCCGCCUGGGAAGUACGGUCGCAAGAUUA